CUCCUGGUAUUGAAUGGAAACCAUUUUAAUCCGCAAUGGCUUGAACCCGGGCCAAAAGUCGUAACAAGGUAUUCUGUUAGGUGACCUGCAGAUGGAUCAUCGU
rnacentral:rRNA from 1 species